GGAAGAGACUCACCUUUACUGUUAUAAAGGUUCCUAGUUCCUAACUUGCUUUUCUAGAAUUGAGAUGAAGACCUUGCUGUGCAAAUUGGAAAGGAUAUAUAUAUUGAUCUCGUAGACCAUGACAAAGUGAGGAGUUUCCGUGUCCUAAAACAGAGGUCUUUUAACCUUUUCAAGGAAGAGGUUGCUAAAGAGUUUGGCAUAUCAGUUGAAUUCCAGCGCUUUUGGCUAUGGACAAAGCGUAAAAACUAUACAUAUCAUCCUAAUCGACCAUUGACACACAUUGAGGAUGCACAACCUUUAUGUUGGAAGGCUUUUUGUGAAGAGUACUGGUACUGCAAUUGAUCAAAGAAUUGCUUACUUUCUUAUGCUGGUGGCGCUGGCAAUUACAUACAUGUUCCAUUGAUACCAUGUAAAGGCUAUAUAAACACAGCAAUACUCCAAUGUACUUUAUAUUGUAUCAAACAGCUUGGAAGUGCGACAAAACUAUCACAAAUUUUUUUUUGCUAUUCUUUCAUUCCUUUUUUGGCAUCUUAUUAUUGAGGAGUGGUUCAACAUCACACAAGCUCAUAAGUGUACAA